CAGAGUCUCGCUCUGUCGGCCAGGCUGGAGUGCAUUAUCCAGAGCUGUUGGACAAAUCCAGAGCUGUUAUUGUACCUUCAGGUCAUGUGGAAUGGAAGAUGCUAUGGAAGCUGAUUGGAACUGUGAGGAACUGAAAUCAUCUCCACCUGGAGCAAUUAAACAUGGACCUUGGAAGCCUUGCCUUUGAGAGGCCCAGGGCAACCUGUCCUACCUACCAGCUGCCCCAUCAGGGGGUAAUCCACUGAUCACCUCCCUCUGUUGGCACAGCAAUCCUGAC